rnacentral:snRNA from 1 species
GUGCUCACUUUGGCAGCACAUAUACUAAAACUGGAACGAUACAGAGAAGAUUAGCAUGGCCCCUGUGCAAGGAUGACAUGCAAAUUCGUGAAGCGUUCCAUAUUUAA